rnacentral:rRNA from 1 species
UACGUAGGGAGCAAGCGUUGUUCGGAAUUACUGGGCGUAAAGGGCGCGUAGGCGGCCACCGCAAGUCGACUGUGAAAUCUCCGGGCUUAACCCGGAAAGGUCAGCCGAUACUGCGGGGCUAGAGUGCAGAAGGGGCAACUGGAAUUCUCGGUGUAGCGGUGAAAUGCGUAGAUAUCGAGAGGAACACCUGCGGCGAAGGCGGGUUGCUGGGCUGACACUGACGCUGAAGUGCGAAAGCUAGGGGAGCGAACGGG